rnacentral:rRNA from 1 species
CCUACGGGAGGCAGCAGUGAGGAAUAUUGGUCAAUGGACGAGAGUCUGAACCAGCCAAGUAGCGUGAAGGAUGACUGCCCUAUGGGUUGUAAACUUCUUUUAUAUGGGAAUAAAAUGUUCCACGUGUGGGAUUUUGUCUGUACCAUAUGAAUAAGGAACGGCUAACUCCGUGCCAGCAGCCGCGGUAAUACGGAGGAUCCGAGCGUUAUCCGGAUUUAUUGGGUUUAAAGGGAGCGUAGGUGGAUUGUUAAGUCAGUUGUGAAAGUUUGCGGCUCAACCGUAAAAUUGCAGUUGAAACUGGCAGUCUUGAGUACAGUAGAGGUGGGCGGAAUUCGUGGUGUAGCGGUGAAAUGCUUAGAUAUCACGAAGAACUCCGAUUGCGAAGGCAGUUCACUGGACUGCAACUGACACUGAGGCUCGAAAGUGUGGGUAUCAAACAGGAUUAGAUACCCCGGUAGUC